UACGGAGGGUGCAAGCGUUGUUCGGAAUCAUUGGGCGUAAAGCGCGUGUAGGCGGUUGCCUAAGUCUGGUGUGAAAGCCCGGGGCUCAACUCCGGAACUGCACUGGAUACUGGGUGACUCGAGGGCGAGAGAGGAUGGCGGAAUUCCUGGUGUAGGGGUGAAAUCCGUAGAUAUCAGGAGGAAUAUCGGUGGCGAAGGCGGCCAUCUGGCUCGUUUCUGACGCUGAGACGCGAAAGCGUGGGGAG
rnacentral:rRNA from 1 species